ensembl:lncRNA
GCGCCUAUUUUGCCCCGAGUGGCUUCCACAUCAGCGGGGAAGAAAGACAGCCAGGGGAGGGGGACACACCACACUCUGCCUCGCCCGGAGGUGGGUAGCCACGCCGAGUCCCCGGCCUGCCGCCGCCUUGCGCGUCGUGGGCUGCCGCGACCGCAGCCCCGCGCUCAGCCAGGCCCGCUCUGCGCGCCAAGCGAGACGCUGAAAAGCAGCGCUGGGCGGAGGCGGGUGCCAGAGGGGCAGAGCCGAGUCGGGGGAGGGAAGGGAAGUGGCUCGAAGCCCCCGGAGUUCGGGCAUCCCGAGCGGUCAGAACGGAACGCUUUGGGGAGGCGUCUGGGGAGAAGGCUUCCGCGACGCGCGCGGCACUGCGGCAGCCGGGCCCAGGCGAGGUCGGCAGGGAGGAGGCGCCGGCUGGCCGUGACCUCGCAGGGGAGGGGGCUUGGCGCGCAGGCUCAGGGUGCCCCCGGCUCCCGCCGCCCCCCGCGCCCGGUCCUCUGCCGCCGCCGCCGCGCGCGCCAGCACAGGAAGGCUGCGGCCAGGAGCCCGAGGCCCGCGCCGAGCGCCGCCAGCGCCGAACCUUGGGCCAGGUCCAGGCGAGGUCCGCGCAGCGAGAAGGUGAUGGCCGUGGCGGCGGCGCCGGCUAGCAGAGCCACGGCGCCGAACGGCAGGACGCAGCGCGGCCAGGAGCCCCCUGCGCCGCCGGUGGCCAAGAGCAGCGCGCGGAGAGCCCGGGGGGGCUCGAGGGCCUCGGCCGCGGCCGGGGGCUCGGCCGCGCUCAUGCCUGCUACGCGGGGGCUGCGCUCCGGGUGGGUGUGGGCACUCCCUGCAGCCCCACUCGCCUCGCCACCUCGGAGCGGAUUGGCCGGCGAGGCGGUGACGCCAGCAGGGCCGCCAGGGCCAGGAGGUCUUCGCUGCCGCCUCCAGGCGGGGUUGUGGAAUGGGGUGGGCGGGCGCUCACCCGAAGCGCGUCUGCCUUCCCGGCUCUGGGGGGCCUUGUGUUGGGACCCAUCAAGACCGCUCCCCCUGUUAUCUGCUGGAACCGCCCUCCCCGUGACGGCUCAGGUGCCCACAGCGGCCCGCAGGGCUGGCCCUGGAGAGGUGGGUCACUGA